ACACAUGCAAGUCGAGGGGUAACAGGGAUUGCUUGCAAUCCGCUGACGACCGGCGCACGGGUGCGUAACGCGUAUGCAACUUACCUUUUACUGGGGAAUAGUCAAGAGAAAUUUUGAAUAAUACCCCAUACGAUCUGACUCACUCCUGUGAGAUAGAAGAAAAUUACGAUGGUAAAAGAUAGGCAUGCGUCCUAUUAGUUAGUUGGUGAGGUAACGGCUCACCAAGACUACGAUAGGUAGGGGUCCUGAGAGGGAGAUCCCCCACACUGGUACUGAGACACGGACCAGACUCCUACGGGAGGCAGCAGUGAGGAAUAUUGGACAAUGGAGGCAACUCUGAUCCAGCCAUGCCGCGUGCAGGAAGACGGCCCUAUGGGUUGUAAACUGCUUUUAUACAGGAAGAAACGUUAGUACGUGUACUAGCCUGACGGUACUGUAAGAAUAAGGAUCGGCUAACUCCGUGCCAGCAGCCGCGGUAAUACGGAGGAUCCAAGCGUUAUCCGGAAUCAUUGGGUUUAAAGGGUCCGUAGGCGGUCUAUUAAGUCAGAGGUGAAAUCCUAUCGCUCAACGAUAGAACUGCCUUUGAUACUGGUAGACUUGAGUUAUUGUGAAGUAGUUAGAAUGUGUAGUGUAGCGGUGAAAUGCAUAGAUAUUACACAGAAUACCGAUUGCGAAGGCAGAUUACUAACAAUUUACUGACGCUCAGGGACGAAAGCGUGGGUAGCGAACAGGAUUAGAUACCCUGGUAGUCCACGCCGUAAACGAUGGUCACUAGCUGUUUGACUAACAUUGGUUAGUUGAGUGGCUAAGCGAAAGUGAUAAGUGACCCACCUGGGGA
rnacentral:rRNA from 1 species